UAUGGCCACAUCAUUUUGAAACACCGGUUCCUGUAUAAUCACUGAAGUCAAGCCUGGUCAGUACCUAGAUGGGUGACCGCUUGGGAAUACCAGGUGCUGCAAA